GACGAACGCUGGCGGCGUGCUUAACACAUGCAAGUCGAACGGAAAGGCCCUGCUUGCAGGGUACUCGAGUGGCGAACGGGUGAGUAACACGUGGGUGAUCUGCCCUGCACUUCGGGAUAAGCCUGGGAAACUGGGUCUAAUACCGGAUAGGAGCCAUUUUUAGUGUGAUGGUUGGAAAGUUUUUUCGGUGUAGGAUGAGCUCGCGGCCUAUCAGCUUGUUGGUGGGGUAAUGGCCUACCAAGGCGGCGACGGGUAGCCGGCCUGAGAGGGUGGACGGCCACAUUGGGACUGAGAUACGGCCCAGACUCCUACGGGAGGCAGCAGUGGGGAAUAUUGCACAAGGGGCGCAAGCCUGAUGCAGCGACGCCGCGGGGGGGAUGACGGCCUUCGGGUUGGAAACUCCUUUCGCUAGGGACGAAGCUUUUUGUGACGGUACCUAGAGAAGAAGCACCGGCUAACUACGUG
rnacentral:rRNA from 1 species